UUAAGCGACUAAGCGUACACGGUGGAUGCCCUGGCAGUCAGAGGCGAUGAAGGACGUGCUAAUCUGCGAUAAGCGUCGGUAAGGUGAUAUGAACCGUUAUAACCGGCGAUUUCCGAAUGGGGAAACCCAGUGUGAUUCGUCACACUAUCAUUAACUGAAUCCAUAGGUUAAUGAGGCGAACCGGGGGAACUGAAACAUCUAAGUACCCCGAGGAAAAGAAAUCAACCGAGAUUCCCCCAGUAGCGGCGAGCGAACGGGGAGGAGCCCAGAGCCUGAAUCAGUGUGUGUGUUAGUGGAAGCGUCUGGAAAGGCGCGCGAUACAGGGUGACAGCCCCGUACACAAAAAUGCACAUAUUGUGAGCUCGAUGAGUAGGGCGGGACACGUGGUAUCCUGUCUGAAUAUGGGGGGACCAUCCUCCAAGGCUAAAUACUCCUGACUGACCGAUAGUGAACCAGUACCGUGAGGGAAAGGCGAAAAGAACCCCGGCGAGGGGAGUGAAAAAGAACCUGAAACCGUGUACGUACAAGCAGUGGGAGCACGCUUAGGCGUGUGACUGCGUACCUUUUGUAUAAUGGGUCAGCGACUUAUAUUCUGUAGCAAGGUUAACCGAAUAGGGGAGCCGAAGGGAAACCGAGUCUUAACUGGGCGUUAAGUUGCAGGGUAUAGACCCGAAACCCGGUGAUCUAGCCAUGGGCAGGUUGAAGGUUGGGUAACACUAACUGGAGGACCGAACCGACUAAUGUUGAAAAAUUAGCGGAUGACUUGUGGCUGGGGGUGAAAGGCCAAUCAAACCGGGAGAUAGCUGGUUCUCCCCGAAAGCUAUUUAGGUAGCGCCUCGUGAAUUCAUCUCCGGGGGUAGAGCACUGUUUCGGCAAGGGGGUCAUCCCGACUUACCAACCCGAUGCAAACUGCGAAUACCGGAGAAUGUUAUCACGGGAGACACACGGCGGGUGCUAACGUCCGUCGUGAAGAGGGAAACAACCCAGACCGCCAGCUAAGGUCCCAAAGUCAUGGUUAAGUGGGAAACGAUGUGGGAAGGCCCAGACAGCCAGGAUGUUGGCUUAGAAGCAGCCAUCAUUUAAAGAAAGCGUAAUAGCUCACUGGUCGAGUCGGCCUGCGCGGAAGAUGUAACGGGGCUAAACCAUGCACCGAAGCUGCGGCAGCGACGCUUAUGCGUUGUUGGGUAGGGGAGCGUUCUGUAAGCCUGCGAAGGUGUGCUGUGAGGCAUGCUGGAGGUAUCAGAAGUGCGAAUGCUGACAUAAGUAACGAUAAAGCGGGUGAAAAGCCCGCUCGCCGGAAGACCAAGGGUUCCUGUCCAACGUUAAUCGGGGCAGGGUGAGUCGACCCCUAAGGCGAGGCCGAAAGGCGUAGUCGAUGGGAAACAGGUUAAUAUUCCUGUACUUGGUGUUACUGCGAAGGGGGGACGGAGAAGGCUAUGUUGGCCGGGCGACGGUUGUCCCGGUUUAAGCGUGUAGGCUGGUUUUCCAGGCAAAUCCGGAAAAUCAAGGCUGAGGCGUGAUGACGAGGCACUACGGUGCUGAAGCAACAAAUGCCCUGCUUCCAGGAAAAGCCUCUAAGCAUCAGGUAACAUCAAAUCGUACCCCAAACCGACACAGGUGGUCAGGUAGAGAAUACCAAGGCGCUUGAGAGAACUCGGGUGAAGGAACUAGGCAAAAUGGUGCCGUAACUUCGGGAGAAGGCACGCUGAUAUGUAGGUGAAGUCCCUUGCGGAUGGAGCUGAAAUCAGUCGAAGAUACCAGCUGGCUGCAACUGUUUAUUAAAAACACAGCACUGUGCAAACACGAAAGUGGACGUAUACGGUGUGACGCCUGCCCGGUGCCGGAAGGUUAAUUGAUGGGGUCAGCGCAAGCGAAGCUCUUGAUCGAAGCCCCGGUAAACGGCGGCCGUAACUAUAACGGUCCUAAGGUAGCGAAAUUCCUUGUCGGGUAAGUUCCGACCUGCACGAAUGGCGUAAUGAUGGCCAGGCUGUCUCCACCCGAGACUCAGUGAAAUUGAACUCGCUGUGAAGAUGCAGUGUACCCGCGGCAAGACGGAAAGACCCCGUGAACCUUUACUAUAGCUUGACACUGAACAUUGAGCCUUGAUGUGUAGGAUAGGUGGGAGGCUUUGAAGUGUGGACGCCAGUCUGCAUGGAGCCGGCCUUGAAAUACCACCCUUUAAUGUUUGAUGUUCUAACGUGGACCCGUGAUCCGGGUUGCGGACAGUGUCUGGUGGGUAGUUUGACUGGGGCGGUCUCCUCCUAAAGAGUAACGGAGGAGCACGAAGGUUGGCUAAUCCUGGUCGGACAUCAGGAGGUUAGUGCAAUGGCAUAAGCCAGCUUGACUGCGAGCGUGACGGCGCGAGCAGGUGCGAAAGCAGGUCAUAGUGAUCCGGUGGUUCUGAAUGGAAGGGCCAUCGCUCAACGGAUAAAAGGUACUCCGGGGAUAACAGGCUGAUACCGCCCAAGAGUUCAUAUCGACGGCGGUGUUUGGCACCUCGAUGUCGGCUCAUCACAUCCUGGGGCUGAAGUAGGUCCCAAGGGUAUGGCUGUUCGCCAUUUAAAGUGGUACGCGAGCUGGGUUUAGAACGUCGUGAGACAGUUCGGUCCCUAUCUGCCGUGGGCGCUGGAGAACUGAGGGGGGCUGCUCCUAGUACGAGAGGACCGGAGUGGACGCAUCACUGGUGUUCGGGUUGUCAUGCCAAUGGCACUGCCCGGUAGCUAAAUGCGGAAGAGAUAAGUGCUGAAAGCAUCUAAGCACGAAACUUGCCCCGAGAUGAGUUCUCCCUGACCCUUUAAGGGUCCUGAAGGAACGUUGAAGACGACGACGUUGAUAGGCCGGGUGUGUAAGCGCAGCGAUGCGUUGAGCUAACCGGUACUAAUGAACCGUGAGGCUUAACCUU
rnacentral:rRNA from 2 species